rfam:Mucispirillum schaedleri ASF457 genomic scaffold acYAd-supercont1.1, whole genome shotgun sequence.
GGAAAGGUGUCCGAGUCUGGUUUAAGGGGCACGCCUGGAAAGCGUGUGUGGGGCAGCUCACCGAGGGUUCGAAUCCCUCUCUUUCCG